UGAUGAUGGUGAGGGCAAUUUCUAAGCAUAUCCUUAAAUAUUUCCCAAGCUUGGUAAAGAUUUUCUCCUUCUUUCUGCUCAAAACUCAGAAUCUCCCUUCUCAAGCA
rfam:Capsicum annuum cultivar Zunla-1 unplaced genomic scaffold scaffold3499, whole genome shotgun sequence